ensembl:snoRNA
UUGGCCCCAAUCAAGACCAGCAGCUUGCAGUAGCUGCUGGUUUCAAAGGGCGCCCAUAUAAACUCCUUCCUAUGGUCUGUUGAUUUUUCCCAGAGUAACAAAGGGGCUAAUCAAUUCAGUGGGAAGGUACAAAA